UACGUAGGGACCAAGCGUUGUUCGGAUUUACUGGGCGUAAAGGGCGCGUAGGCGGCAAAUUAAGUCAGCUGUGAAAUCUCCGAGCUUAACUCGGAACUGUCAGCUGAUACUGAUGUGCUAGAGUGCGGAAGGGGCAAUCGGAAUUCUUGGUGUAGCGGUGAAAUGCGUAGAUAUCGUAAGGAGGACCAGUGGCGAAGGCGGGUCUCUGGACAGUUCCUGACGCUGAGGCACGAAGGUCAGGGGAGCAAACGGG
rnacentral:rRNA from 1 species